rnacentral:rRNA from 1 species
CAAAAGCGUAUAUUAAAGUUGUUGCAGUUAAAAAGCUCGUAGUUGAACCUUGGGCUUGGCUGGCCGGUCCAUCUUUUUUGAUGCGUACUGGACCCAGCCGAGCCUUUCCUUCUGGCUAGCCUUUUGGCGAACCAGGACUUUUACUUUGAAAAAAUUAGAGUGUUCAAAGUAGGCCUUUGCUCGAAUAUAUUAGCAUGGAAUAAUAGAAUAGGACGUUAUGGUUCUAUUUUGUUGGUUUCUAGGACCAUCGUAAUGAUUAAUAGGGACGGUCGGGGGUAUCAGUAUUCAGUUGUCAGAGGUGAAAUUCUUGGAUUUACUGAAGACUAACUACUGCGAAAGCAUUUACCAAGGACGUUUUCAUUAA